UGGAAGUAAAAAGUCGUAACAAGGUCUCCGUU
rnacentral:rRNA from 1 species